rnacentral:lncRNA from 1 species
AGAAGUAAUAUUUUCCAAAUUGAAUACUCAUUUUCAUCUGUUAUGCUUAUUUUAUUCAGUGGACAUGUGGAUAUGAUAUUCAUUUUCAAAAUCAUCCUCCCCAAAAAAUCAAAUAAUAAUCCCCUUUCCUUUCAACUUUAUACCUAUAUGUACUACCUCUAUACCUUUGUCUUCAGAUCUAAUCCUCUUGCACACUGUUUUUG